rnacentral:rRNA from 1 species
UACGUAGGGUGCGAGCGUUAAUCGGAAUUACUGGGCGUAAAGCGUGCGCAGGCGGUGAUGUAAGUCAGGUGUGAAAUCCCCGGGCUUAACCUGGGAACUGCAUUUGUGACUGCAUCGCUGGAGUGCGGCAGAGGGGGAUGGAAUUCCGCGCGUAGCAGUGAAAUGCGUAGAUAUGCGGAGGAACACCGAUGGCGAAGGCAAUCCCCUGGGCCUGCACUGACGCUCAUGCACGAAAGCGUGGGGAGCAAACAGG